rnacentral:rRNA from 1 species
GACGAACGCUGGCGGCGUGCUUAACACAUGCAAGUCGAACGGAAAGGCCCUGCUUUUGUGGGGUGCUCGAGUGGCGAACGGGUGAGUAACACGUGAGUAACCUGCCCUUGACUUUGGGAUAACUUCUGGAAACUGGGGCUCAUACCGGAUAGGAGCUCCUGCUGCAUGGUGGGGGUUGGAAAGUUUCGGCGGUUGGGGAUGGACUCGCGGCUUAUCAGCUUGUUGGUGGGGUAGUGGCUUACCAAGGCUUUGACGGGUAGCCGGCCUGAGAGGGUGACCGGCCACAUUGGGACUGAGAUACGGCCCAGACUCCUACGGGAGGCAGCAGUGGGGAAUAUUGCACAAUGGGCGGAAGCCUGAUGCAGCAACGCCGCGUGCGGGAUGACGGCCUUCGGGUUGUAAACCGCUUUCGCCUGUGACGAAGCGUGAGUGACGGUAAUGGGUAAAGAAGCACCGGCUAACUACGUG